rnacentral:rRNA from 1 species
AUGGUUAGGAGUGUACCGAAUGGUGAGAAGCUCUUCAUAGGAGGAGACCUCAAUGGCCACGUGGGUACAUCUAACACAGGUUUUGAAGGGGCGCAUGGGGGCUUUGGCUAUGGCAUCAGGAAUCAAGAAGGAGAAGAUGUCUUAAGCUUUUCUCUAGCCUACAACAUGAUUGUAGCUAACACCCUCUUUAGAAAGAGAGAAUCACAUCUGGUGACUUUUAGUAGUGGCCAACACUCUAGCCAGAUUGAUUUCAUCCUCUCGAGAAGAGAAGAUAGGCGUGCGUGCCUAGACUGUAAGGUGAUACCUGGGGAGAGUGUUGUACCCCAGCAUAAGCUGGUGGUUGCUGACUUCCGCUUUUGGAUUCGUGUCCAGCGGGAUAAGCGUGCCAAGGUCGCUAGAACGAAGUGGUGGAAGCUCAAGGGGGAGGUAGCUCAGGUGUUCAAGGAGAGGGUAUUUAAGGAGGGCCCUUGGGAGGAAGGAGGGGAUGCGGACAAGGUGUGGAUGAAGAUGGCGACUUGCAUUCGUAAGGUGGCCUCGGAGGAGUUUGGAGUGUCCAGGGGAAGGAGAAGCGAAGAUAACGAUACCUGGUGGUGGAAUGAUGAUGUCCAGAAGGCGCUUAAAGAGAAGAAAGAUUGCUUCAGACGCCUAUACCUGGAUAGGAGUGCAGACAACAUAGAGAAGUACAAGAUGGCGAAGAAGGCCGCAAAGCGAGCUGUUGGUGAAGCAAGGGGUCGGGCAUAUGAGGACCUCUACCAACGGUUAGGCACGAAGGAAGGUGAAAGGGACAUAUAUAAGAUGGCUAAGAUCCGGGAGAGGAAGACGAGGGAUAUUGGCCAAGUCAAAUGCAUCAAGGACGGAGCAGGCCAACUCUUGGUGAAGGACGAAGAGAUUAAGCAUAGAUGGCGGGAGUACUUCGACAAGCUGUUCAAUGGGGAGAAUGAGAGUUCUACCCUUGAACUGAAUGACUCCUUUGAUGAGACCAGCAUGCGUUUUGUGCGGCGCAUCCAGGAGUCUGAGGUGAAGGAGGCUUUAAAAAGGAUGAAAGGAGGCAAGGCGAUGGGCCCUGAUUGUAUCCCCAUUGAGGUGUGGAAAGGUCUCGGGGACGUAGCGAUAGUAUGGCUAACCAAGCUUUUCAACCUCAUUUUUCGGGCAAACAAGAUGCCAGAAGAAUGGAGACGGAGUAUAUUAGUACCAAUCUUCAAGAACAAGGGGGAUGUUCAGAGUUGUACUAAUUACCGUGGAAUUAAGCUGAUGAGCCAUACAAUGAAGCUAUGGGAGAAAGUCAUUGAGCACCGCUUAAGAAGAAUGACAAGCGUGACCAAAAAUCAGUUUGGUUUCAUGCCUGGGAGGUCGACCAUGGAAGCCAUUUUCUUGGUACGACAACUUAUGGAGAGAUAUAGGGAGCAUAAGAAGGACUUGCAUAUGGUGUUCAUUGACUUGGAGAAGGCCUAUGAUAAGAUACCGCGGAAUGUCAUGUGGUGGGCCUUGGAGAAACACAAAGUCCUAGCAAAGUACAUUACCCUCAUCAAGGACAUGUACAAUAAUGUUGUGACAAGUGUUCGAACAAGUGAUGUCGACACCGAUGACUUCCCGAUUAAGAUAGGACUGCAUCAGGGGUCAGCUUUGAGCCCUUAUCUUUUUGCAUUGGUGAUGGAUGAGGUCACAAGGGGUAUACAAGGAGAUAUCCCAUGGUAUAUGCUCUUUGCGGAUGAUGUGGUGCUAGUUGAUGAUAGUCGGAUGGGGGUAAAUAGGAAGUUAGAGUUAUGGAGACAAACCUUGGAAUCGAAAGGGUUUAGGCUUAGUAGAACUAAAACCGAGUACAUGAUGUGCGGUUUCAGUACUACUAGCUGUGAGGAGGAGGAGGUUAGCCUUGAUGGCCAGGUGGUACCUCGGAAGGACACCUUUCGGUAUUUGGGGUCAAUGUUGCAGGAGGAUGGGGGUAUUGAUGAAGAUGUGAACCAUCGAAUCAAAGCCGGAUGGAUGAAGUGGCGCCAAGCUUCUGGCAUUCUCUGUGACAAGAGAGUGCCACAAAAGCUAAAAGGCAAGUUCUACAGGACGGCGAUUCGACCCGCAAUGUUGUAUGGCGCGGAGUGUUGGCCGACUAAAAGGCGACAUGUUCAACAGUUAGGUGUGGCGGAGAUGCGUAUGUUGAGAUGGAUGUGUGGCCACACGAGGAAGGAUCGAGUCCGAAAUGAUGAUAUACGAGAUAGAGUUGGGGUAGCACCAAUUGAGGAGAAGCUUGUCCAACAUCGUUUGAGAUGGUUUGGGCAUAUUCAGCGCAGGCCUUCAGAAGCUCCAGUGCAUAGCGGACGGCUAAAGCGUGCGGAGAAUGUCAAGAGAGGGCGGGGUCGACCGAUUUUGACAUGGGAGGAGUCCGUUAAGAGAGACCUGAAGGAUUGGAGUAUCGACAAAGAGCUAGCUAUGGACAGGGGUGCGUGGAAGCUUGCUAUCCAUGUGCCAGAGCCAUGA